rnacentral:rRNA from 1 species
GACGAACGCUGGCGGCGUGCCUAACACAUGCAAGUCGAACGGAGAAUGUCUCUGAGUUUACUUAGAGAGAUUCUUAGUGGCGGACGGGUGAGUAACGCGUGGGUAACCUACCCAUCAAGCCGGGACAACCCUUGGAAACGAGGGCUAAUACCGGAUAAACUUAAGAUGUGGCAUCACAUCUUAAGGAAAGAUGGCCUCUGAAAAUGCUAUCGAUGAUGGAUGGACCCGCGUCUGAUUAGCUGGUUGGUGGGGUAAAGGCCUACCAAGGCGACGAUCAGUAGCCGGCCUGAGAGGGUGAACGGCCACACUGGGACUGAGACACGGCCCAGACUCCUACGGGAGGCAGCAGUGGGGAAUCUUCCGCAAUGGACGAAAGUCUGACGGAGCAACGCCGCGUGUAUGAUGAAGGUCUUCGGAUUGUAAAGUACUGUCAUUGGGGAAGAACGGUCUCUUUGAAAAUAUUGAGGAGACAUGACGGUACCCAAGGAGGAAGCCCCGGCUAACUACGUG